rnacentral:lncRNA from 1 species
CACACACACACGCGCACGCGUACAGCACUGCCUGGAUGCAGAGGUCAGAAAACAACUUGUGAGAGUCAGUCAGUUCUUUCCUUCCACCCUGUGGGACCUGACAGUUGAACUCAGGUCAUCAGGCUUAGUAGUUCAUGUCUCUACCCAUGGAGCAAUCCCCCAAGACUUUUGGCCUGCUUCCUUACAGAACACAGCACCACCAGCCCUGGGAUGGCACCACCCACAAUGAGUUGGGGCCUACUGAUCAAUCACUAAUGAAGAAAAUGCUUUAAAGUCUUGGCUACAGCCUGAUCUUAUGAAGACAUUUUCUCAGUUGAGGUUCCCUCCUCUUGGAUGACACCAGCUUGUGUCAAGUUGACAUCAAACUAUCCAGCACAGGGCCCAUGGAAGGCUACCGAAGUGGCCAGUCUCACUGGCUGAUUCAGCAAGUGCGAGCCUCCACAGUGACAUUUCCUUCAACCAAACCACACCCACUCCAACGAGGCCACGCCUCCUAAUAGUACUGAAUGCUGCUACCUUUGGAGGCCAAUGCCUUUCAAUCCACCAUGUAGCCUAUCCAAAAGGAACUCUGCAACUGGCUUUAAAAGAGGAAAAUAGACCAAUAGACUGGGAGGUAACGAAGCACGCCUUUAGUUCCAGCACUCAGGAGGCAGAGGCAGG